GGACAUCAUGCCAACUGACAAAGGAAGUGGCCAUUUUCAGUAGAUCUUUUAUCUUGAUUCCAUUUAGUCCAAUAAUGUCUUCUUGAUCCUUCGAGAUCCCCACAUUGAUUGUGGAUAACGUGUGUAGGUGAUUUAUAUAAGUUAACAUGCCUUAAUAAAAUUGUCAUGAUUAUACCAACGUGUGUGUCCUGUCAUUGAAUCAUUUAGGUAUGUGUAUGUAUACCUUAAAAAAAAAAAAAGACCAAAGCUUUCGAGAGGUUGAGCCGGUGUGCGUGUGGGCUUAACCCCCCAUACAUGAGUCGUGCUCACGUGGUCCGUUAUGUAGAGGGCUAGUCCUUCCGGAUUUCACAUCGGUUGUGGAUAGCGUGUAUAAGUGAUUUAUAUGGGUUAACAUGUUUUACCAAGGAGUGUGUCCUGUUACUGAAUCACCUGGGUGCAUUUGUAU
rnacentral:misc_RNA from 1 species